rnacentral:rRNA from 1 species
GCAGUCGAACGAUGAUGCCCAGCUUGCUGGGCGGAUUAGUGGCGAACGGGUGAGUAAUACGUGAGUAACCUGCCCUUGACUCUGGGAUAAGCCUGGGAAACUGGGUCUAAUACUGGAUACUACCUCUUGCCGCAUGGUGGGUGGUGGAAAGGGUUUUACUGGUUUUGGAUGGGCUCACGGCCUAUCAGCUUGUUGGUGGGGUAAUGGCUCACCAAGGCGACGACGGGUAGCCGGCCUGAGAGGGUGACCGGCCACACUGGGACUGAGACACGGCCCAGACUCCUACGGGAGGCAGCAGUGGGGAAUAUUGCACAAUGGGCGGAAGCCUGAUGCAGCGACGCCGCGUGAGGGAUGACGGCCUUCGGGUUGUAAACCUCUUUCAGUAGGGAAGAAGCGAGAGUGACGGUACCUGCAGAAGAAGCGCCGGCUAACUACGUGCCAGCAGCCGCGGUAAUACGUAGGGCGCAAGCGUUGUCCGGAAUUAUUGGGCGUAAAGAGCUCGUAGGCGGUUUGUCGCGUCUGCUGUGAAAGCCCGGGGCUCAACCCCGGGUCUGCAGUGGGUACGGGCAGACUAGAGUGCAGUAGGGGAGACUGGAAUUCCUGGUGUAGCGGUGAAAUGCGCAGAUAUCAGGAGGAACACCGAUGGCGAAGGCAGGUCUCUGGGCUGUUACUGACGCUGAGGAGCGAAAGCAUGGGGAGCGAACAGGAUUAGAUACCCUGGUAGUCCAUGCCGUAAACGUUGGGCACUAGGUGUGGGGGACAUUCCACGUUUUCCGCGCCGUAGCUAACGCAUUAAGUGCCCCGCCUGGGGAGUACGGCCGCAAGGCUAAAACUCAAAGGAAUUGACGGGGGCCCGCACAAGCGGCGGAGCAUGCGGAUUAAUUCGAUGCAACGCGAAGAACCUUACCAAGGCUUGACAUUCACCGGACCGCCCCAGAGAUGGGGUUUCCCUUCGGGGCUGGUGGACAGGUGGUGCAUGGUUGUCGUCAGCUCGUGUCGUGAGAUGUUGGGUUAAGUCCCGCAACGAGCGCAACCCUCGUUCUAUGUUGCCAGCACGUGAUGGUGGGGACUCAUAGGAGACUGCCGGGGUCAACUCGGAGGAAGGUGGGGAUGACGUCAAAUCAUCAUGCCCCUUAUGUCUUGGGCUUCACGCAUGCUACAAUGGCCGGUACAAAGGGUUGCGAUACUGUGAGGUGGAGCUAAUCCCAAAAAGCCGGUCUCAGUUCGGAUUGAGGUCUGCAACUCGACCUCAUGAAGUCGGAGUCGCUAGUAAUCGCAGAUCAGCAACGCUGCGGUGAAUACGUUCCCGGGCCUUGUACACACCGCCCGUCAAGUCACGAAAGUUGGUAACACCCGAAGCCGGUGGCCUAACCCCUUGUGGGAGGGAGC